rnacentral:lncRNA from 1 species
CAUUUGUUUAUCAACAUAUUACUGAUGGACUUGGAAUUGAAGGGAGGUAGAGAAAAAUGUGAUAUUCACAAACCAAAAAGGGAAUUUUUUAUUCCAAAAUUUAUCCAAUAAAUAUUGUGUAGAUACAUGUACCAAGAAAACCAUAAUUUAGAAGUGUAUGAAAGUACUCAAUAUAUUCGAUAAAGUCUGAUAGCGUAAAAUAUUUGAUAUGAAUAAUUAAAAAAAGAAUUCAACAAAUGAAAAUCCUGUUUUCCAGUCAUGCAACAGAACAUGAUGUGGCUACAGAGCAAUAUAUUACAAUAGUUUUAUAACUGACUAUGCAGCAUGGGCAUUGCUCAUUGUUAAAGGCUAUAUGGUGACUUAUAAUUGUUAAUUUCUGUUUCUUUUAAUCUCUUUAGUCUCUUUAAAGAGUUGUCUCAUCGAUAAUCACACCAUAUCUUAUAUUAGUUCACCUGGCCC